AGACCUGUUGCCAAGGCAACAGGCACCAUGUUCCCAACAUUCAAUUGGCUCACCUCCCUGCGUAGACAUUCUCCAUAUAAAUAAGGAGAAUGCCCCUCCCUCUCUCUCUCCCCCUCUUCUCUUUCUGUCACCACCUUCUCUCUCUUUCCCCAAAAAACCCUCUUCCAUGUGGAACUGCCUUGGCCUAGUGUGCUAUUGAGACUCGACCCGCCAUUCUAACACAUCAAAUAUGACAUGACCAAGGCUGCACGCUAGCCUGGGGUAUGGAAACCACAUGCAAGGAGGCAAGACUCACAAAGGCGGUGUGUGUUAAACUGCCCUGUGGGUUCCAAGAUGGCGGCAACAAGCCAAGUGCAUCUAACCUGUACUUGACAUGAUUUCUCUGAGUAACCUUGGUUGUCCUGUAGAUGAGGCUGGCCUCAAACUCAGUAAAGACAAGCUCCAUGGUCAGCGAAGGUGGGCAAUGCAAAAAGAACCCAGUGAGCUCAGCUAAUGUGACAAGUCAGCCAGCCAGCUUGCUCGCGGAUCUGUCUCUGCCAUCUGAGCACUGGAUUACAGGCUUGCUUCCUGUACAGGGAUCACCAGAAUUAAUUUCAACCAUACCUACAUAUUUCUUGGCGAUGGGCAAAGAAAAACAUUUGGAAGAAUUCGUAUGAAUCCCCAUAUCUGAAAGGCCCCUGGACAUGUUUCUUGGAGGGGGGGGUGGCUUUUAUCAAAUUUCUUUAUCAAACUUUUAAGUCUUUAAGCUAUGAUUCUCAAAGACUAUAUGGCUGUGUUACAUUCCAAAGCAUCAAAAAUUCUACAAGUCCUUAUGUCAAAUAUCUUAGAUGUAACUUCUUGGUGCCUUAUAUAUAAAUCCAACAUUCUUAAAUAAACCAUCUUCACAGCUACCCACAGA
ensembl:lincRNA 1700044C05Rik RIKEN cDNA 1700044C05 gene